rnacentral:rRNA from 1 species
GACGAACGCUGGCGGCGUGCUUAACACAUGCAAGUCGAACGAUGAAGCUAGAGCUUGCUCUGGUGAAUUAGUGGCGAACGGGUGAGUAACACGCGAGUAACCUGCCCCGAACUCUGGGAUAACUGCUGGAAACGGUAGCUAAUACUGGAUACGACCUACGAAGGCAUCUUCUGUAGGUGGAAAGAAUUUCGGUUCGGGAUGGACUCGCGGCCUAUCAGCUUGUUGGUGAGGUAAUGGCUCACCAAGGCGACGACGGGUAGCCGGCCUAAGAGGGUGACCGGCCACACUGGGACUGAGACACGGCCCAGACUCCUACGGGAGGCAGCAGUGGGGAAUAUUGCACAAUGGGCGCAAGCCUGAUGCAGCAACGCCGCGUGAGGGAUGACGGCCUUCGGGUUGUAAACCUCUUUUAGUAGGGAAGAAGCGAAAGUGACGGUACCUGCAGAAAAAGCACCGGCUAACUACGUGCCAGCAGCCGCGGUAA